rnacentral:tRNA from 1 species
GCCACGAUCGCGUAAUCUGGUAUCGCACUGGACUGCUAAUCCAGACCCUUCGGGGUGUCCCGGUUCAAAUCCGGGUCGUGGCG